rnacentral:rRNA from 1 species
AUGCAAGUCGAACGAGAGAAUUGCUAGCUUGCUAAUAAUUCUCUAGUGGCGCACGGGUGAGUAACACGUGAGUAACCUGCCCCCGAGAGCGGGAUAGCCCUGGGAAACUGGGAUUAAUACCGCAUAGUAUCGAAAGAUUAAAGCAGCAAUGCGCUUGGGGAUGGGCUCGCGGCCUAUUAGUUAGUUGGUGAGGUAACGGCUCACCAAGGCGAUGACGGGUAGCCGGUCUGAGAGGAUGUCCGGCCACACUGGAACUGAGACACGGUCCAGACACCUACGGGUGGCAGCAGUCGAGAAUCAUUCACAAUGGGGGAAACCCUGAUGGUGCGACGCCGCGUGGGGGAAUGAAGGUCUUCGGAUUGUAAACCCCUGUCAUGUGGGAGCAAAUUAAAAAGAUAGUACCACAAGAGGAAGAGACGGCUAACUCUGUGCCAGCAGCCGCGGUAAUACAGAGGUCUCAAGCGUUGUUCGGAAUCACUGGGCGUAAAGCGUGCGUAGGCUGUUUCGUAAGUCGUGUGUGAAAGGCGCGGGCUCAACCCGCGGACGGCACAUGAUACUGCGAGACUAGAGUAAUGGAGGGGGAACCGGAAUUCUCGGUGUAGCAGUGAAAUGCGUAGAUAUCGAGAGGAACACUCGUGGCGAAGGCGGGUUCCUGGACAUUAACUGACGCUGAGGCACGAAGGCCAGGGGAGCGAAAGGGAUUAGAUACCCCUGUAGUCCUGGCAGUAAACGGUGCACGCUUGGUGUGCGGGGAAUCGACCCCCUGCGUGCCGGAGCUAACGCGUUAAGCGUGCCGCCUGGGGAGUACGGUCGCAAGAUUAAAACUCAAAGAAAUUGACGGGGACCCGCACAAGCGGUGGAGUAUGUGGCUUAAUUCGAUGCAACGCGAAGAACCUUACCUGGGCUUGACAUGUAAUGAACAACAUGUGAAAGCAUGCGACUCUUCGGAGGCGUUACACAGGUGCUGCAUGGCCGUCGUCAGCUCGUGUCGUGAGAUGUUUGGUUAAGUCCAGCAACGAGCGCAACCCCUGUUGCCAGUUACCAGCACGUGAAGGUGGGGACUCUGGCGAGACUGCCCAGAUCAACUGGGAGGAAGGUGGGGACGACGUCAGGUCAGUAUGGCCCUUAUGCCCAGGGCUGCACACGUACUACAAUGCCCAGUACAGAGGGGGCCGAAGCCGCGAGGCGGAGGAAAUCCUAAAAACUGGGCCCAGUUCGGACUGUAGGCUGCAACCCGCCUACACGAAGCCGGAAUCGCUAGUAAUGGCGCAUCAGCUACGGCGCCGUGAAUACGUUCCCGGGUCUUGUACACACCGCCCGUCACAUCAUGGAAGCCGGUCGCACCCGAAGUAUCUGAAGCCAACCGCAAGGAGGCAG